rnacentral:rRNA from 1 species
GACAAACGCUGGCGGCAUGCCUAACACAUGCAAGUCGAACGGACAGAACAGGGAAGCUUUUCGGAGUGGAACUGGAAAGUUAGUGGCGGAUGGGUGAGUAACGCGUGGACAACCUACCUUGUAAAGGGGAAUAACCUCGAGAAAUCGAAGCUAAUACCCCAUAAUAACCUUGCUUCGCAUGAAGUAAGGAGGAAAGGCGGCCUCAGCGCUGUCGAUACCAGAUGGGUCCGCGUCUGAUUAGCUAGUUGGUGAGGUAAAGGCUCACCAAGGCGACGAUCAGUAGCCGGCCUGAGAGGGUGAACGGCCACAUUGGGACUGAGACACGGCCCAAACUCCUACGGGAGGCAGCAGUGGGGAAUCUUCCGCAAUGGGCGAAAGCCUGACGGAGCAAUGCCGCGUGAGUGAAGAAGGCCUUCGGGUUGUAAAACUCUGUCCUUAUCGAAGAGAGAGUGUUGUAGUAACUGACAAUACUAGGACGGUAGAUGAGGAGGAAGCCCCGGCUAACUAUGUG